rnacentral:tRNA from 1 species
GCCUAGCUGGCUCAGUCAGUAGAGCAUGUAAUUCCUGAUCUCAGGGUUGUGAGUUCAAGCCCCACAUUGGGCG